GCGCUGGUGACAGGCCUGCGGGCCUCCAGCGGCGGAGUUGAAAAUGGGGGUCAGCGGGGGACCGAAAGGCCUGGAAUUCAAAGAGAUCUUCACUGGCCUCAGAACAUACCUCCCCAGCCUGUUCUUCAACAGGGCGGAGAAAGCGGUGGUGCAUGGCAGUGCCAGACCCUUUUCGUCUCAUCUUGAGGUGAGAAGUCUCCCCCCAGGGAAGGGAAUCAGGAGCACAAAAAGGAACUGGACGGAAAGCACAUUGUGACUGCCAGAGCCUUGGGGGAGUGGCAAACACGGAGCACCUGCUUAACGGGUCCAAGGUCAUGAAAAGGUUUGGAGAAAGCUAGCAAUGGCCACAUAGUGUUAUGAAUGUACUUAUUACCACUAAGCGGUACCCUUUUAAAUGGUUAAAAUGGUAAAUUUGAUGUUAUAUGCACUUUACCAUAAUCUAAAAAAGUAAAAAUGAAAGAAAAAAAACCACUCAUGAAUGCCUCCUAAAGACCUGGAGCCAUGGCAAACAUACACUGGUUGCAUUCAGCGUGCAGAGGGACGGAAGUGUAAAUCAGACUACGUGACAACUUCAAGAGGGAUCUCCAAAUCGUUUCUAUCAGAAAGCUCCUCUGUGGGAGUAAUAAGACAAUUGGCAGGCACUCAGCCACCACCCCACUAGGCCCUGCCCCCACAACCUUCAAGAAAGAAGCACUCAAAUACCAACAAGACGUAUUUCAAAUAGUUUAAUUUUAAAAAUAUUCUAUUCAGUGCUAAAAUAUGUCUUCACUCACUGUUGCCCAUUUCCAUUUUCUUAAACUUUUUUGAACAAAAAAUAAAAUCACAAAGUUCAAUUAAACAUGCAGAUUUCAAAGAAGAGGGAACUUUCUAGAAAGUCUGAGCUGAAGGAGUACUGUGGGGGAUGGGUACUGUUGGCAGAACCUCAAAUCCUUGCUGGGGCAGAGUCUGUGGCAAGAGGCAGGGGAUGUUGGAAUGAAA